rnacentral:rRNA from 1 species
GAACGCUGGCGGCGUGCCUAACACAUGCAAGUCGAACGGAGAAUACAUUUUGAAGCAAUUAGCUUGCUAAGAGUGGAAAUGUUGUAUUCUUAGUGGCGGACGGGUGAGUAACGCGUGGAUAACCUGCCUCACGACUGGGGGGAUAACAGCGAGAAAUUGCUGCUAAUACCGCAUAAGCGCACAGCAUUGCAUGAUGCAGUGUGAAAAACUAAAGUGAUGUGAGAUGGAUCCGCGUCUGAUUAGCUAGUUGGUAGGGUAAGAGCCUACCAAGGCGACGAUCAGUAGCCGGCCUGAGAGGGUGAACGGCCACAUUGGGACUGAGACACGGCCCAAACUCCUACGGGAGGCAGCAGUGGGGGAUAUUGCACAAUGGGGGAAACCCUGAUGCCAGCGACGCCGCGUGAGUGAAGAAGUAUUUCGGUAUGUAAAGCUCUAUCAGCAGGGAAGAAAAUGACGGUACCUGACUAAGAAGCCCCGGCUAACUACGUGCCAGCCGCUGC